AAAUGCGGUAAGUAAUGUGAAUUGCAGAAUUCAGUGAAUCAUCGAAUCUUUGAACGCACCUUGCGCUCCUUGGUAUUCCUUGGAGCAUGCCUGUUUGAGUAUCAUGAAAUCUUCAAAGUAAAUCUUUUGUUAACUCAAUUGGUUUCUACUUUGGUAUUGGAGGUCUUUGCAGCUUCACACCUGCUCCUCUUUGUUCAUUAGCUGGAUCUCAGUGUUAUGCUUGGUUCCACUCGGCGUGAUAAGUUAUCUAUCGCUGAGGACACUGUAAAAGGUGGCCAAGGUAAAUGCAGAUGAACCGCUUCUAAUAGUCCAUUGACUUGGACAAUACUUUUAUGAUCUGAUCUCAAAUCAGGUAGGACUACCCGCUGAACUUAAGC
rnacentral:misc_RNA from 1 species